UACGUAGGUGGCAAGCGUUGUCCGGAAUCAUUGGGCGUAAAGCGCGCGUAGGCGGCCCGGUAAGUCCGCUGUAAAAGUCCAGGGCUCAACCCUGGAAAGCCGGUGGAUACUGUCGGGCUAGAGUCCGGAAGAGGCGAGUGGAAUUCCUGGUGUAGCGGUGGAAUGCGCAGAUAUCAGGAGGAACACCGAUGGCGAAGGCAGCUCGCUGGGACGGUACUGACGCUGAGGUGCGAAAGCGUGGGGAGCAAACAGG
rnacentral:rRNA from 1 species